GCUGGCGGCGUGCCUAAUACAUGCAAGUAGAACGCUGAAGCUUGGUGCUUGCACCAAGCGGAUGAGUUGCGAACGGGUGAGUAACGCGUAGGUAACCUGCCUGGUAGCGGGGGAUAACUAUUGGAAACGAUAGCUAAUACCGCAUAAAAUGGAUUAUCGCAUGAUAAUCAAUUGAAAGGUGCAAAUGCAUCACUACCAGAUGGACUGCGUUGUAUUAGCUAGUUGGUGGGGUAACGGCUCACCAAGGCAACGAUACAUAGCCGACCUGAGAGGGUGACCGGCCACACUGGGACUGAGACACGGCCCAGACUCCUACGGGAGGCAGCAGUAGGGAAUCUUCGGCAAUGGACGGAAGUCUGACCGAGCAACGCCGCGUGAGAGAA
rnacentral:rRNA from 1 species